UCAAUUAUGCUAUUAUGUUUUUUUUGGUGGCAGCCAUUUAUUUUUUCUGAAACUUAGUGUUCAUUCUUAACCAUCUUUAAUGAUAAGAUCCAUACUAACAUGUAUAAUAAGAUCCAUACUAAUAUCCAACUUAACUAGUAGCUAAGUUUUAUAAGUUUUGUACUUCAAAGCAUGUACAAUCUUGGCAUUUCCAUUACAGUAAUAGUAAUUUUAAAUAUUUUGUAAAAACCAUUGCUAAAAAUGUCAGGGAAAUUCAUCUGAUUUUUCAAAAAAGUCAUUGAAUUUUAUAUAAAUAGUUGGCUACGAACCCUGUCGGAGAAAUAUUGUUUUACUAUGAAUUUUUUUGUUUUACAGUGCAAUCUGUAUUUCAAACAUUGAUGAGAAUUGUUUUGUGUCAGUGCCAGAAAUUGAGUGUACACCUGCGAAUUUCAUAAUUCAUAAAAUUAUUAUGAAUCCAUUUGCAAAUAAAGUUGUAUCCUUGAAAGAUAUGCUGGUAUUAUUGGCACAAAGGGCAAGCAUUGAAGUGCAACUUGGUGAACUACAAAAUACAUCAAAUUCAGUUUUAAAAUUUGAAUAACAAAGGUAUGCUAAUUAUUGUAUUGCCUGAAAGAGUGUCAUUGCCAUUAAAAGCAGCAAAGAAUUCAAAUACUCUGAAAGAAAAAAGAAAAAAAAAAUACUUAAUUAAAUGGUUAAUAUUUUUUUAUGAUCUGUUUAUGCAAUUUGUAUAAUAUCUUAGUAUAAUUUAUAUACUUUAAAUAAAAUACUCUUUGAAGAUUUCUUGUAAAUGACAUUAUAUAUUAAUUUAAGUCUAAACAAAAGUUACUUUAAUUAUUGCCAGGUUGUGUAUUUUUGCAGGUUAAUUAUUUGGCACAAAUUAAAGUUAAAGACGAAGGAGAUUGUGUAUGUUAUUUACUAAGAAUAAUUUUUUAAAAUGGCCUAGCUGUAAAGCUAAACUAUGCAGGAAGAAGACAAAAAAUUGGAAGAGGAAAAAUGUUGAUUGCAUAUGCUGCUAUUGAAACUGUGAAGUCAAAUAAGCAUGGCUUAUGCAGACAUGUGAUAGAGAUAGAGGAAGAAAAAUAAUAAUCGUGGGUACCAAAUAUCAUGGGCUAAACACGAUUCAAUAACAUGUAGCUCAGCCAAUACCGAAACUACUCUAUAAAUUUUAUAGUGAAUUUUUUUAUUUAAAACCCAAUGUGUCAGUUUUUAGUUUAAGUUUGGUGUUUGCAAUAUGUGUAUUUAACCGAGAAAAUA